UAAGGAAGUGCCAGGCAAACGUAAUUUUGAGCUGAGGGCAGAAGCGUAAUUUUGAGCUAGAGGAAAAAACAACAUUGUAUUUUGAACUGGGGGCAAAAACGUAAUUUUAAACGGAGGGCGAAACCGUAAUUUUAAACUGAGAACAAAAUUAGAAAUGAGUUUUUGAACCGGGGGCAAAAGCGUAAUUUUGAGAUAGGGGCAAAAUUAUAAAUUUAUUUUGAGCUGCGGGCAAAAAUGUAAUUUUAAACGAAGGACGAAAGCGUAAUUUUAAACUGGAAAUAAAGUUAAAUAAAAAAUAGAUUGGUCCAAUAGGUAAGUGCCAGGCAAGCUGCCUAACACUAUUCCCCGAGCUUGUAAAUGUAUAUGGAGGUAACUAGUAAUAGUAACAAGACCCGUGCGUGUUAUGAUUAGUUUAAACAUUAUGUGAUGCGUUAACUAUUUGAGAACGCGUAUUUCAGACGUAUCAUAUUGAGCUCAGUGUAACCUAUAUAAGCAUUGUGAUUGGAUUAAAACGUAAAGUAAAUCGAAUUUAUACCGUACAAUCAUAACGUAUUAAAUGCGACCCGACUAACUCGAAUUUAUACCGUCAAGUCAAAACGUAUUAUAUACGACCCAAUUCAUACAUAUGAAAUAUUCAAAACAAAGCACGAAAGCGUACAGCAAAAUAACGCGCCAAAACGUAUAGACAAACUCGAAUUUAUUCGAAAAAAGCAUACCAAAUAUAUGUCGAAAUCUAGACAAACUCAAAUAUUGUACCGACUACGCGGCAUGAUUAUGUAUAGACUAACUCGAAUUAAUCGGCGAAUCAAAUAUUUGACGAAACGUAGACCAACUCAAAUUUAUACCAAUACGUACUUAUAAAUAAUCACACAACAGUUUAACCUUUUUAGGUUAACGAACGAAGAUUCAUGUGGCUGUCAAGCAGGUUUGUAGAUGCGGUUUACAGGCAAUUAUUUUUAGAGUGAAGUACAUGAUCCCUGUGGUUUACAAAAAAAAAAAAAAAAAACUUUGGAUUUGAUGCAUAGCUUUCCAAAAUGACACGGAUGGUCUCUGUGGUUUACAAAAACUUUGGAUUUGGUCCCUAGCUCCAAAAGUAUAUAGAUGGUCCUGAUGGUUUGCACAUUGUAACACAUUUAGUCCCCAACUUUGCCAAAAGUCACACAAAUUGUCCAUGUGGUUUGCACUUGGUAACACGUUUAGUCCCUAACUUCGACAUGUUGAAACCUUUAGCCGGGGACUAAAUACAUUACAAAACGCAAACCACAUAGACCAUCCGUACUUGUACUUUCGAAAAGUUAAGGACCAAAUUCAAAAUUUUGGUAAACCAAAUGAAAGUGAAACAGAGUUUAAUCAGGUGUGUGAACGACAUGAUUUCAGUACUAAGAAAGUGAAAUAGAGGUUGGGGAAUCGUACCUAUGAUCGAUUCAUUCUCCAUUUGCACAUCGAACUUCAUUGAUCUGAUGGUGGUGUGUGUAAACGCAAUGAGAGGAAGAAGAUGAGUGUGUGAGUAAUUUGAGGGUGUUAGAAUAUGAAGGGGAGAAGAUAAAGGUGCUCCUAAGGUGUGGUCCAUAAGAUUUAUCGGUGAAAUGACUUCCAUACCCCUAAAAGUAACAAUCAACCUUACGGUUGACUAACAGUUUGUGGCAGAGUGUGAUGGAUUACCCAUCUCAGGGUUCUGGCAAAAAGUGGAAGAUAGGGUUUUAUCAGACAAUCCGAACCAAAACACAGGUUACUACUUAG
rnacentral:lncRNA from 1 species